rnacentral:lncRNA from 1 species
AAACGCUGCUGUCCAAGAACAUUUCUCCAUUCAGAAUGCUCAUCUAUGCUCCUCCGAAAUGGCCCCAAAUUCUUUAAAUUGUUGUUGAACCAGUAUUGUUGAGCUUGAGUGAAUUCAAUAAAUACACUUAACAUCUCACAAGUGCCAUGGAAUCAAUCUCCUUAAAGACUUCUUCAGCUCAAAAUGGGUCCCAACAGCAGAUCUAGGAGCUUGUAGCCUCGACCCAGCAAUCUUCGUCAAGAAUCACCCUUGGUGAUAAAUCCUCUUGAAUCUUUCCUUCUACGCAGAAUGAGCUCCGAAGAACUGAUACCACUGUGAAGAGAUCCAUCUCCAAGAGGUAUUUCCGAUUCAACUGUCCCCAAUUUGUUACCAGCAAUCGAUAUGUGAAACCGACUUCGGUGUUACCUUAUCUCUUUUAUUUGCAUCUGAUGUUCAUUUCCCGCUGACUUGUCAUUAUAAUACUUAAUUCCUUGGUUAUGUGCUGAAACCCUUGUUUUGCAUUUUCUUAAUCCGUAUAUGUGGGAUUUUUCUUUGUUCCGUCAGUAAGAUGUUCCUUGCUAGUUGUGGUAGUUCAUGUGUACUAUUAAAUUGAAUGACAUUAGUACCUGCAAAAUGAACAAUGUGGUUAGCUAAAUAAUCUGCCAAUUUGUUUCAUUCUCUGUAUGUGUGAACCACCUCCACCUCUCCUUUCUCCAUUAAUAAUUUUAUGCAUUGUAUGUCGACUGAGAUUGACCAUGGAACUUCCCAUACUCCAUCCAAUACUUUUUUAAUAAUGAAUGAAUCAAUUUCCAUGAUUAUAGGUAGCAAGUCAUUCUCUAUAAAAUACUUCAAUCCUGCCUUGAAUGUCUUCACGUCUGCAACUAUAGCAUAACAUGCUUCAAUAACAUUAGCUUCUACAAAUAUUAAGUUGCCUUCUUCAUUUCGAAUACAAAAAGUUGUAGAACUAGGCCCAGGAUUUCCUUUUACUAGUGCCAUCAGUAUUGCAUUUAUAUCUUCCUACGAGAGGAUGCACCCAAUACACCACUCUACAACAUACUAGUGGUGAAUAUUCUUCCAAUAAUUUGACUAUCAUAGGCCAUGUAUUAGGGAGAUUUUUCAGCCAUGGAUAUCUAUUUUUGGCAAAGAGAUACAGAUGCUUGUUAAUCUCCCUAAUCAUGUUAUGAGUCAACAUGAAUCCUCCAUGCUUAACGAUAUUCCUUUUCUUCCAUAACUGCCAAAUAAUGAAAAUGGGAACAACAUGUAACAUUGGUUUCAACUUGAUUCCACAGUCAGAUUACCACCAUAAUUGUAUCACAUGUCUUAGUUGAACCAUUGGGCCUUGAAUACCUACAGCCUCUGCAAAUUAUCUCCAUAAACAGUAUGUUGUGGGGCAAUGAGGAAAGAGAUGAUCACAUGUCUCCUCUGCAUUGGUGUUGCAGAUACAACACUUGACAGAGUUGACAAUUCUCAUUCUCACCAGCACCUCUCCUAUUGGAAUUCUCAUAUGCCAUAGUCUCCAUAUCAAAAAUGAGAUUUUAAAAGGCAACCCUUUCUCCCAUAUAUAUAUAUAUGAUUUUAUCAACUUUAUCAUUUUCCUUCUCAUUAACUCACAAGAACUACCAACAGAGAAUUUACCAGUACUAGUAGGCAUCCACCAUGGCUUGUCUCUUUCAUCAGAUCUUUGUAUUCUUCCCAAAUUUGAAGUGAUGUGAUUACUAACUUCUUCUGGCAAAUCCUCAUGUAGCAAGGUGUUACUCCAUCCCUCCACUAGCAUUAACGGUUGCACCUCCUCUAAUUGACCAUAAUCAUGGUUAAUAGGCAAGUAGUAGUGUAAUACCCCCAACCUGUGUCCAAUUAUCAAACCAAACACUACACUGACCAUUUCUUGGUUCCCACCAAAUUUCCUAAUCAAUGAAAUCUUUAGCAUGUAGCAUAAGUUUACAUACCUCCAUUAUACUACUUGUGGCAUGUGUAUUUUGCAAUACUUGUUCCACAUGAAGUUAGACCAUAAUGUGUUGGUUGUUCUAAAAUUCCACUAUAAUUUAGCAAAGAGCGCCUUUGAAACAUAAAAUGGAGAUCUAAAACCAAGCCCCCCUUCAUUCUUUGGUAAACAUAUAUCAUUCAAAGCAAUCCAGUGUUUAGCCCUCCCUUCCUCCUUGGAAUUCCAUAGGAAUUUUGCAAAAAUCCUAUGUAUAUCUUGUGUAACACAUUUUGGUGGGAAAAUAGCAGAUAGCAAGUAUAUAGGAAUGCUUUACAAUACAUGAUUAAUCAACACUGCUUUUCCUCCAAAUGAUAACAACCUCCCCUUCCACACCUGCAAUUUUCUUUGAAUCUUCUUGAUUAGUUCUGAGUAAUGUACCUUCUUCUUCUUAGCAUGCUCAAUGGGACAACCAAGAUAAGUCAAUGGAAAGUUUUCUCUCAUAAAUCCAGUAAUAUCCUCCACUUCCUGAAGUAUGACAUGUGCAGUCUUAUUGAACAUGUAAAAUAGACUCUUUCCUUUAUUAAUAAGUUGGCCUAAUUGAGCUUCAUACAAUUGAAGAGUUUCCAUGAUUAAUUGCAUAGAUUUUUUGUCAGCAAAUGUGAAUAUGAUGGUAUCAUCUGCAUAAGCAAGAUAAUUUAGUUGAUCACUCCAUUUGGGUAAACCAAAGCUCUUAAACUCAUUGUUGUAAAACAGAUGAUUUAGAGCCCUAGUUAAUACUUCAGCAGAUAAUAUAAAAAGUGCAGGAGAUAAAGGAUCUCUUUGUUUUACCCCUCUAGUGGAGUGAAAGAAGCCAUGAGCCUGUCCAUUAACAAGUACAGAGUACCAAUUAUUGGCUACCAACCUCCAAAUCAUAGCCAACAUCCUAUUAUCAAAGCCCAUUUUCUCCAAUACACUAAUCAGAAACUUCAGUCCACCCUAUCAUAAGCUUUAGCCAUGUCUAACUUGAUGACCACAUUAGCAGGCUUCCCUCUUUUUCUGAUCUCUGAGAUUAUUUCUUGUGCCAACAAUACAUUUUCAGUGAUAUUUCUCCCUUUAACAAAUCUUGAUUGCUUAGAAGAUAUCAGUUUUGGUAGUAUCCCUUCCAACAUGUCAUGUAUAAGUCUUGAAAUAAUUUUGUUAAAAAAAUUGCUCAAAGUAAUUGGCCUAAAAUCAUAAAAAGAUUGAAUAAUAUCUUUUUUUGGGUAAUAGGACCAAAUUUGUAUGAGUAAUAGACUUAGGUAGUGAGUAACCCAGAAAGAAAGCAUGAACCACUUCACAAUAGUUGUACCAAUAAUAUCCCAACAAGUUUGAUAAAAGUGACUUGUAAACCCAUCUGGUCCACAAGCACUCUGAGCAUUAAGCUCAAAUACAACUUUCCUGAUCUCCUCUUCUUGUGGUAUUGCAAUCAAGCUAUCAUUUUCUUCUUGUUCUACUUGAGGAUGUAUAUAUUGUAAUAAGGACAACUCCGAAUUAAUAGCUCCCCCGGUGAACUGAUCUUUAAAAACACACACAGUCUCUUCUGCAAUCUCUUUAUCACCCUCUACCCAGGAACCAUCUGCUUUCAUCAUUUUGUUAAUUUUCAGCCUCUUCCUUCUUCCCUUCACCAGACUAUGAAAGAAUCUGAUAUUUCAAUCUCCAUCCUCAAACCAUUGCAUCUUAGUUCUGCCUCCAAUACUCUUCUUCAUAAUGAAUGUAAAGCUUUAAUUCAGCUUGACCAUGCUGCAAUACUACUCUAUUUUCUGGAUAUGGACAUUCUUCAAAAAAAAAACUCUUCUUUAAUCCUCAAAAUUUCCUCCCUAAUAGCCAAUUGAUUGAAAAUGUCUCCAAAUUUCUCCUUGCUCCACUUUGACAGUGCCUGCUUAAUUCUUUUUUACUUCAACUAUCAUUCCUAGUUCACGUGUUAUGGAAUUGUCGAAAAUAAAAUUAAAAACUUAAAUAUUAUAUUAAGUGUUAUGGUUGAUUUUUCAUUUGAGUUAUCCUAAGUGUUGUGCUCAUCAUGUAAUGUUCAUCAGUUAUGAUUCAAUCGAAGUAAGUAUUAAGUGUUGUGUUCAUCAUGUAAUGUUCACCGGUAAUUUUAAUUAUAUAUGUUAUGCUAUUAGUCCAUUGUCAUGUUGAUUUUAUACUUUGAAUUGCAUAACAUAAUUUCUUUUCUUUUUAAGAUAUUACAAACUUGUAGAAAAAAUGUGGUAUGCAUGUACUAUCAUAUAUCGCACUGGGAAUCUCCUCCUUGAAUAUGUGCUUGUACAAUUCGUAGAUAUUUUAAUUUGUGAAACACAACAUCUUCAUUUAGUGUCCAAUAUGUUCUAGGGAACCUUUGGAAAUUGGGUAAAUUAGCCAGCAAAGUCAUGACUUCCCAUGAUAAUCGAAAUUCCUUGAGAUUAGGAAGGAAAAUAUCCCUAGAGAAGAUCAUGAUUGUUUUCUUUCUACAUGUAGAAGAGUUCUUUUAAAUUGGUAGUUCUUCUUAUGAUUUCCGCAGCAAGAGAAUUAGAUAUAUAUAUAGUGGCGAUCCAAUAUCAAAAUGUCUUAUCUCUGACAUUUUUCAGAUAUCUACUACCUGAUUCAACAAACAUUUCUCUUCAAAAAAUUGUUAUGGUCAGUAGAUUUCUCAAUUCUUGCAGAAAUAUAUCUCAAAUAUACAAAACUGAGGUAUUACACAAGAGAAAUCAUAUUCAAUUGAAAAUAACGUUCAAUACCUUAAGCAAUUUGAACUAUAAAACAAUUGUUUUGGAAUAUCUACUUGCAUUGAAAUAAAGGUGGAAAAUCAGGACAUCAAGACUUAUAAAAGACUUUCUAUGAUGUGGAAAAUCAGGACAUCUAACAUAAUCAGCAGCAUACUUGAGCCGAGUGAUUAAUAGAAUUCGGCUUCUAUUGUCAUCAUUUGAAAAUAUUCUUCGCAUUUAGUCACAUGCCUCAGUACUCCAUAUAUCAUCUUUGACAAUUAGAAAUCUCCUAUCCUUCAGACCUCUAUACACAAUCUCCAUUAGUUGAUCACCACUCAUUUCUUGAUUGAUUCCUGUAAUUGAAGAGACAACUUCAAGAAACAUUUGUCUCUCAUUGUAUAUUUAAUCCUCUUGCUGCGGAAACCAUAAGAAGAACUCUCAAUUUAAAAGAGCUUUUCUACAUGUAGAAGCAAAAACAAUCAUGAUUUUCUCUAGGGAUAUUUUCCUUUCUCAUCUCAAGGAAUUCUGAUUACCAUGAGAAGUCAUGACUUUGCUGGCUAAUUUACCCAAUCUCCAAGGGUUCCCUCAAACAGAUUGAACACUAAAUGAAGAUGUUAUGUUUCACAAAUUAUACUAUCUAUGAAUUGUACAAGCACAUCUGUAAGAAGGAGAUUCCCCAACGCGAUAUAUGAUAAUACAGGCAUAUCACAUUUUUCUACAAGUUUGUAAUAUCUUGAUAAAGAAGAGAUUAUGCUAUGCAAUUCAGAGGAUAAAAUCAACAUGACAAUAGACUAAUAACAUAAAUAAUUAAAAUUAUUGGUGAACAUUACAUGAUGAACACAACACUUAGUACUAACUUCGACUGAAUCAUAACUGAUGAAACACAACAUUUAGUAUAACUCAAAUGACAAUGAACAAUAAUACUUAAUAUAAUAUUUAAGUUUUAAAUUUUACUUUCGACAAUUCCAUAACACACGCACUAGGAAUUCCAUAACUUAUUUAUUUUAUGUUUUUAUGAUAUAAGUCGAAAUUGACUAAACCUCAUUUAUUUUCAUUAAAUGUAACGAUCUGUCUCAACUCCACCAAUUUCGCGUCAAUCCAAUUUCUGAGUAAAAACUUAUGACCAUUUCAGUAACUAAUACAGUGCAGUGACAAAUUAGCCAGUGGAAAACAUUAAAAGGGGUCUUUUUUAACUUUUUACCUUCAAGAAAAUCCUAGACGAAUUUCUUGACUAAUAUAAGGCUCAAAACUAGGGCUGUUCAAAAUCGAACCGAAAUCGAUAACUCAAACCAAAAAAAGUUAUUGGUUUAUCAGUAAUGGCUUAUUAGUUUAGCGGUUUUGAUAACGGUUUUGAUUUUUUUUCUUAUCUGGUUAUCGGUUCUUAACGGUUUGAGGUUUUUUCUUAACGAGUUAACCGAUAACCCGAUAGUAAAUUAAAUUAUUAAAUUUAUACCAUUUUGUAUAUAAAAACCUUGCUUAAAGUUUGGUUUCCUAAUUUUAUUUAUGGUUGUCUCAACACUUGGUUAUUCUACAAUGUAAAAGUGUUUGCUUUUGAGCAAGAUGUAACUUGUGAACUCAUGUGCAUGGUUCAUUUGGUUUGUCACCUUAUUUCUAAGUGAUAUUCAAUUUUUUUGUGUUAAAUCUUAACGGUUAAACAGAAAAUCAAACACUUAAUGAUCAAUAACUGAUAAACCAAUAAUCGAUAAGUCAAUAUCUUAAUUGUUCUGUAACAGUUUAGCAUCUCUACAAACCGAUAACCAAUAAGCCAAACCGAUAAACUUCAAAAUCGAACCGAAUCGACCGAUACGUAGACCUACUCAAAACAAUUAGAUUUUCAUCUCUUAAUCCAUAAUUUUCCUCUCUCUCAAACCCCAAGACAAAACCCUAAGAAAAAUCAAAGUAGAAAACUUCAUUCAAGAUUCUUCUUCAAGGCAAGUGUUUCUCCAAGAAUCUCAUUCUUUCCAACCUAAAUUCCUCCAUACAAUUAUGAAUCACAAAUGAAAAUCAUAAUUCUUGGUCAUAGAGUUUCAAGAAACUAAUUCAAGAAAUCUCAAGAAAGGUUUUCUUCAUUUUUCUCUUUCAAGCUAGGAUUUCAAGGAUUCUCAUCAAGUGCUUCUUCAAGAUUCUUCAAGAACAUUGUUCUUUCAGGUAUGUUAGGCUAUCAUAGUGUUGGACUAGUUCGUCCUCACGCCCUACAACUACUUUCAGAUCAAUAAAAGAGUAAUCUAGGAUUCUUUCCCUAGAUUUGAGUAUUCUUGAGAUAAGUUGAUUUUGAGUUCUUGAAUUCCUGAUUCUUUUGAAAUUCUAUUCCUAAGUAUUGAGUUUCUAUAUUUUUAUUCAGAUCAUUGAGUUGAUUUGUUCAUGUCUAUAAUUCAGCAUGAACCCUAAUUUGAGUUAUAAAUCUUGAAAAGUUUUUCAAAGCCAAAACUUGAGUUUUAAACUGAGUUUUUGAGGAAGUAAAGAUAAAUUUUGAGUGAAAGUUUAAAGGUUCUAUUUCAUAAAGACUUAAGAGGUUCUAAUGUUAUUUUAUUCAUAUAUAUACAUAUGUACAUAUGUUAAUUAUUGGAAUUGAAAGAUAAGUUCAUAAGAGCAUGUUUUCAAGAAGGUAAACAUGUCUCAUGUUUUGAAAAGUAUUUCAAGUAAUGUAAGAAGCUCAUUCUUUGUGAUGAGUGAAUUGAACACAAAGUUAUAUCAAUUAUUUUGGAAGUAUUGAGCACCGGGUUGGGUUAGAGUCUUUCAUGAUUCGGAAGUCCCAUAGAACUACAUAUCCAGCGUAGGAUAGGAUAGCAUUGAUUCUUCAUGCGACUCCUCACUACCUCUUAGAAGGCUAAUUACAUGGAUACAUAGUCACGAUAUCAUCCUAAACCCAACAAAGUAUAGGAUGGCCCUGGCAACGUGAGGUGAAACAUUUUAUCAUGGCUAGUUCAACUGUCAUUCCUAAUGCGCGUGUUAUGGAAUUGUCGAAAAUAAAGUUAAAAACUUAAAUAUUAUAUUAAGUGUUAUGGUUCAUUUUUCAUUGGAAGUAUCCUAAGUGUUGUGUUCAUCAUGUAAUGUUCAUCGAUUAUGAUUCAGUCGAAGUAAGUACUAAGUGUUGUGUUCAUCAUGUAAUGUUCAACAGUAAUUUUAAUUAUAUAUGUUAUGUUGUUAGUCCAUUGUCAUGUUGAUUUUAUCCUUUGAAUUGCAUAACAUAAUCUCUUUUUUAUCAAGAUAUUACAAACUUGUAGAAAAAACGUGGUAUGCAUGUAAUAUCAUAUAUCGCGCUGAGAAUCUCCUCCUUGCAUAUGUGUUUGUACAAUUCGUAGAUAUUUUAAUUUGUGAAACUCAACAUCUUCAUUUAGUGUCCAAUCUAUUCGAGGUGAACUCUUGGAAAUUGAGUAAAUUAGCCAGCAAAGUCAUGACUUCCCAUGAUAAACGGAAUUCCUUGAGAUUAGGAAGGAAAAUAUCCCUAGAGAAAAUCAUGAUUAUUUUCUUUCUACAUGUAGAAGAGUUCUUUUAGAUUGGGAAUUCUUCUUAUGAUUUCCGCAGCAAGAGAAUUAAAUAUAUAUAGUGGCGAUCCAAUAUCAAAAUGUCUUAUCUCUGACAUUUUUCAGAUAUCUACUACCUGAUUCAACAAACAUUUCUCUUCAAAAAAUUGUUAUGGUCGGUAGAUUUCUCAAUUCUUGCAGAAAUAUAUCACAAAUAUACAAACUGAGGUAUUACACAAGAGAAAUCAUAUUCAAUUGAAAAUACGUCCAAUACCUUAAGCAAUUUGAACUGUAAAACAAUUGUUUUGGAAUAUCUACUUGCGUUGAGAAAAGGUGGAAAAUCAAGACAUCAAGACUUAUAAAAGACUUUCUAUGAGGUGGAAAAUCAGGACAUCUGACAUAAUCAGCAACAUACUUGAGCCGAGUGAUUAAUAGAAUUCGGCUUCUAUUGUCAUCAUUUGAAAAUAUUCUUUGCAUUUAGUCCCAUGCCUCUGUACUCCAUAUAUCAUCUUUGACAAUUAGAAAUCUCCUACCCUUUAGACCUCUAUACACAAUCUCCAUUAGUUGAUCACCACUCAUUUCUUGAUUGCUUCCUGUAAUUGAAGAGACAACUUCAAGAAACAUUUGUCUCUCAUUGUAUAUCUAAUCUUCUAGCUGCGGAAAUCAUAAGAAGAACUCUCAAUCUAAAAGAGUUCUUCUACACGUAGAAGCAAAACAAUCAUGAUUUUCUCUAAGGAUAUUUUCCUUUCUAAUCCCAAGGAAUUCUGAUUACCAUGAGAAGUCAUGACUUUGCUGGCUAAUUUACCCAAUCUCCAAGGGUUCCCUCAAACAGAUUGGACACUAAAUGAAGAUGUUGUGUUUCACAAAUUAAAAUAUCUACGAAUUGUACAAACAAAUCUACAAGAAGGAGAUUCCCCAACGCGAUAUAUGAUAAUACAGGCAUAUCACAUAUUUCUACAAGUUUGUAAUAUCUUGAUAAAGAAGAGAUUAUGUUAUGCAAUUCAGAGGAUAAAAUCAACAUGACAAUAGACUAAUAACAUAACAUAUAUAGUCAAAAUUACCGGUGAACAUUACAUGAUGAACACAACACUUAGUACUGACUUCGACUGAAUCAUAACUGAUGAACACGACAUAUAGGAUAACUCAAAUGAACCAUAACACUUGAUAUAAUAUUUAAGUUUUUAAUUUUACUUUCGACAAUUCCAUAACACGCACACUAGGAAUUCCAUAACUCAUUUAUUUUAUGUUUUUAUGAUAUACACAUAUAGAUUGAUAUAAGUCGAAAUUGACUAAACCUCAUUUUUUUCAUUAAAUGUAACGAUCUAUCCCAAUGCCACCAAUUUUGCGUCAAUCCAAUUUCUGAGAAAAAAGUUAUGACCAUUUCAGUAACUAAUAUAGUGAAGUGACGAAUUAGCGAGUGAGAAACAUUAAAAGGGGUCUUUUUGUCUUUUUACCUUCAAGAAAAUUCUAAAGGAAUUUCUUGACUAAUAUAAGGCUCAAAACUAGGGUUGUUCAAAACCGAACCGAAACCGAUAACUCGAACUGAAAAAAAGUUAUUGAUUUAUUAGUACUGCGUUAUUGGUUUAUCAGUUUUGAUUCUUUUGUUAUCAAGUUAUCGGUUUUUAACGGUUUGAGUUUUUUUCUUAACGGGUUAACUGAUAAUCGGAUAGUAAAUUAAAUGAUUAAAUUUAUACCAUUUUGUAUAUAAAGUCCUUGACUUAAAGUUUGGUUUCCUACAUUUAUUUCUGGUUUUCUCAAACACUUGAUUAUUGUACAAUGUAAAAGUGUUUACUUUUGAGCAAGAUGUAACUUGUGAACUCAUGUGCAUGGUUCAUUUGGUUUGUCACCUUGUUUCUAAGUGAUUUUCAAUUUUUUGUAUCAAAUCUUAACGGUUAAAUCAUAACUGAACGGAUAAUGAUCAAUAACUGAUAAACCAAUAACCGAUAAGUCAAUAUCUUAAUGGUGCUGUAACGGUUUAGCAUCUCUAAAAACCGAUAACCAAGCCAAACCGAUAAUCUUUAAAAUCGAACCGAACCGAUCGAUACACAACCCUACCCAAAACAAUCAGAUUUUCAUCUCUUAAUCCAUCAUUUUCUUCUCUCUCAAACCCUAAGGAAAAAUCAAAGUAGAAAACUUCAUUCAAGAUUCUUCUUCAAGACAAGUCCUUCUCCAAGAAUUUCAUUCUUUCCGACCUAAAUUCCUCCAUAUAAUUAUGAAUCAAAAAUGAAAAUCAUAAUUCUUGGUCAUAGAGUUUCAAGAAACUAAUUCAAGAAAUCUCAAGAAACGUUUUCUUCAUUUUUCUCAUUCAAGCUAGGAUUUCAAGGCUUCUCAUCAAGUGCUUCUUCAAGAUUUUUUAAGUUUCUUCAAGAACAUUGUUCUUCCAAGUAUGUUAGGUUAUCAUAGUGUUGGACUAGUUCGUCCUCACCUCCUACAUCUACUUUCAGAUCAGUAAAAGAGUAAUCUAGGAUUCUUUCCCUAUAUUUGAGUAUUCUUGAGAUAAGUUGAUUUUGAGUUAUUGAAUUCCUGAUUCUUUUGAAAUUCUAUUCCUAACUAUUGAGUUUCUAUAUUUUUAUUGAGAUCCUUGAGUUGAUUUGUUCAUGUCUAUAAUUCAACAUGAACCCUAUUUUGAGUUAUAAAUCUUGAGAAGUUUUUCAAAGCCAAAACUUGAGUUUUAAACUGAGUUUUUGAGAAAUUAAAGAUAAAUUAUGAGUGAAAGUUUAAAGGUUCUAUUUCAUAAAUACUUAAGAGAUUCUCAUGUUAUUUUAUUCAUAUAUAUACAUAUACAUAUGUACCAAUGUUAAUUAUUGGACUUGAAAGAUAAGUUCAUAAGUGCAUGUUUUCAAGAAGGUAAACACGUCUCAUGUUUUGAAAAGUAUUUCAAGUAAUGUAAAAAGUCCAUUCUUUGUAAUGAGUGAAUUGAGCUCAAAGUUAUAUCAAUUAUUUUGGGAGUAUCGAGCACUGAGUUGGGUUAGAGUCUUUCAUGAUUCGGAAGUCCCAUAGAACUACGUAGCCAAGGUAGGAUAGGAUAGCAUUCAUUCUUCAUGCGACUCCUCACUGCCUCUAAGAAGGCUAAUUAGAUGGAUCCAUAGUCACGAUAUCAUCCUAAAUCCGACAAAGUAUAGGAUGGCCCUGGCAGCGUGAAGCGAAACGUUGUAUCAUUGUUAAUUCAACUGUCAUUCCUAGUGCGCAUGUUAUGGAAUUGUUGAAAAUAAAAUUAAAAACUUAAAUAUUAUAUUAAGUGUUAUGGUUCAUUUUUCAUUUGAGUUAUCCUAAGUGUUGUGUUCAUCAUGUAAUGUUCAUCGAUUAUGAUUCAGUCGAAGUAAGUACUAAGUGUUGUGUUCAUCAUGUAAUGUUCACCAGUAAUUUUAAUUAUAUAUGUUAUGUUAUUAGUCCAUUGUCAUUUUGAUUUUAUCCUUUGAAUUGCAUGACAUAAUCUCUUUUUUAUCAAGAUAUUACAAACUUGUAGAAAAAACGUGGUAUGCAUGUAUUGUCAUAUAUCGCACUGGGAAUCUCCUCCUUGUAGAUGUGCAUGUACAAUUCGUAGCUAUUUUAAUUUGUGAAACUCAACAUCUUCAUUUAGUGUCCAAUCUGUUCGAGGGAACCCUUGGAAAUUGAGUAAAUUAGCCAGCAAAGUCAUGACUUCCCAUGAUAAUCGAAAUUCCUUGAGAUUAGGAAGGAAAAUAUCCCUACAGAAAAUCAUGAUUGUUUUCUUUCUACAUGUAGAAGAGUUCUUUUUGAUUGGGAGUUCUUCUUAUGAUUUACGCAGAAAGUGAAUUAAAUAUAUAUAUAUAGUGGCGAUCCAAUAUCAAAAUGUCUUAUCUCUAACAUUUUUCAGAUAUCUACUGCUCGAUUCAACAAACAUUUUUCUAAGAAAAAUUGUUAUGGUCGGUAGAUUUCUUAAUUCUUGGAGAAAUAUAUCUCAAAUAUACAAACUGAGGUAUUACACAAGAGAAAUCAUAUUCAAUUGAAAAUACGUCCAAUACCUUAAGCAAUUUGAACUAUAAACCAAUUGUUUUGGAAUAUCUACUUACGUUGAAAUAAAGGUGAAAAAUUAGGACAUCAAGACUUAUAAAAGACUUUCUAUGAGGUGGAAAAUCAGGACAUCUGACAUAAUCAGCAGCAUACUUGAGCCGAGUGAUUAAUAGAAUUCGGCUUCUAUUGUCAUCAUUUGGAAAUAUUCUAUGCAUUUAGUCCCAUUCCUUAGUACUCCAUAUAUCAUCUUUGAAAAUUAGAAAUCUCCUACCCUUCAGACCUCUAUACACUAUCUCCAUUAGUUGAUCACCACUCAUUUCAUGAUUGCUUCCUGUAAUUGAAGAGACAACUUCAAGAAACAUUUGUCUCUCAUUGUAUAUCUAAUCCUUUUGCUGCGGAAAUCAUAAGAAGAACUUUCAAUCUAAAAGAACUAUUCUACAUGUAGAAGCAAAACAAUCAUGAUUUUCCCUAUGGAUAUUUUCCUUUCUAAUCUCAAGGAAUUUCGAUUACCAUGAGAAGUCAUGACUUUACUGGCUAAUUUACCCAAUCUCCAAGGGUUCCCUCAAACAGAUUGGACACUAAAUGAAGAUGUUGUGUUUCACAAAUUAAAAUAUCUACGAAUUGUACAAACACAUUUGCAAGGAGGUGAUUCCCCAAUGCGAUAUGUGAUAAUACAGGCAUAUCACAUUUUUCUACAAGUUUGUAAUAUCUUGAUAAAGAAGAGAUUAUGCUAUGCAAUUCAGAGGAUAAAGUCAACAUGAUAAUAGACUAAUAACAUAACAUAUAUAAUUACAAUUACUCGUGAACAUUACAUGAUUAACACAACACUUAGUACUGACUUCGACUGAAUCAUAACUGAUGAACACAACAUAUAGGAUAACUCAAAUGACAAAAUGAAUCAUAACACUUAAUAAAAUAUUUAAGUUUAUAAUUUUACUUUCGACAAUUCCAUAACACGCGCACUAGGAAUUCCAUAACUCAUUUAUUUUAUGUUUUUAUGAUAUACACAUAUAGAUUGAUAUAAGUCGAAAUUCACUAAACCUCGCUUUUUUCAUUAAAUGUAACGAUCUAUCCCAACGCCACCAAUUUUGCGUUAAUCCAAUUUCUGAGUAAAAAGUUAUGACCAUUUCAGUAACUAAUACAGUGCAGUGAUGAAUUAGCCAGUGAGAAACAUUAAAAGGGGUCUUUUUGUCUUUUUACCUUUAAGAAAAUUCUAAACUAAUUUCUUGACUAAUAUAAAGCUCAAAACUAGGGUUGUUCAAAACCGAAAUCGAUAACUCGAACCGAAAAAAAUUUAUUGAUUUAUCAGUACUCCGUUAUUGGUUUAUUGAUUUUGAUUUUUUUUGUUAUUAGGUUAUCGGUUCUUAACGGUUUAAGGUUUUUUCUUAACGGGUUAACCGAUAACCGGAUCAUAAAUUAAAUUUAUACCAUUUUGUAUAUAAAGUGUUUGACUUAAAGUUUGGUUUCCUACUUUUAUUUCUGGUUGUCUCAAACACUUGGUUAUUCUACAAUGUAAAAGUGCUUGCUUUUGAGCAAGAUGUAACUUGUGAACUCAUGUGCAUGGUUUGUCACCUUGUUUCUAUGUGAUUUUCAAUUUUUUUUUUGUCAAAUCGUAACGGUUAAAUCGAUAACCAAACCGAUAAUGAUCAAUAACUGAUAAACCAAUAAUCGAUAAGUCAAUAUCUUAAUGGUUUUGUAACGGUUUAGCAUCUCUACAAACCGAUAAUCAAUAAAUCAAAUCGAUAAACUUCAAAAUCGACCGAUACACAGUCGUAAUCAAAACAAUCAGAUUUUCGUCUCUUAAUCCAUCAUUUUCUUCUCUCUCAAACCCUAAGAUAAAAUCCUAAGGAAAAAUCAAAGUAGAAAACUUUUCAAAAUUCUUCUUCAAGAUAAGUCCUUUUCCAAGAAUUUCAUUCUUUCCAACCUAAAUUCCUCCAUACAAUUAUUAAUAACUAAUGAAAAUCAUAAUCCUUGGCCAUAGAGUUUCAAUAAACUAAUUCAAGAAAUCUCAAGAAAGGUUUUCUUCAUUUUUCUCCUUCAAGCUAGGAUUUCAAGGCUUCUCAUCAAGUGUUUCUUCAAGAUUCUUUAAGUUUCUUCAAGAACAUUUUUCUUCCAGGUAUGUUAGGCUAUCAUAGUGUUGGACUAGUUCGUCCUCACUCCCUACAUCUACUUUCAGAUCAGUAAUCUAGUAUUCUUUCCCUAUAUUUGAGUAUUCUUUAGAUAAGUUCAUUUUGAGUUCUUGAAUUCCUGAUUCUUUUGAAAUUCUAUUUCUAAGUAUUGAGUUCCUACAUUUUUAUUGAGAUCCUUAGUUGAUUUGUUCAUGUCUAUAAUUCAGCAUGAACCCUAUUUUGAGUUAUAAAUCUUGAGAAGUUUUUCAAACCCAAAACUUGAGUUUUAAACUGAGUUUUUGAGGAAGUAAAGAUAAAUUUUGAGUAAAAGUUUAAAGAUUCUAUUUCAUAAAGACUUAAUAGUUUCUAAUGUUAUUUUAUUCAUAUAUAUACAUAUACAUAUGUACCUAUGUUAAUUAUUGGACUUGAAAGAUAAGUUCAUAAGUGCAUGUUUUCAAGAAGGUAAACACGUCUCAUGUUUUGAAAAGUAUUUCAAUGUAAGAAGUCCAUUCUUUGUAAUGAGUGAAUUGAGCACAAAUUUAUAUUAAUUAUUUUGGGAGUAUCGAGCACCGAGUUGGGUUAGGGUCUUUCAUGAUUCGGAAGUCCCAUAGAACUACGUAGCCAACGUAGGAUAGGAUAGCAUUGAUUCUUCAUACGACUCCUCACUACCUCUUAGAAGGCUAAUUAGACGGAUCCAUAGUCACGAUAUCAUUAUAAAUCAGACAAAGUAUAGGAUGUCCCCGGCAACGUGAGGCAAAACGUUGUAUCAUUGCUAGUUCAACUGUCAUUCUUAUUGCGCGUGGUAUGGAAUUGUCGAAAAUAAAAUUAAAAACUUAAAUAUUAUAUUAAGUGUUAUGGUUCAUUUUUCAUUUGAGUUGUCCUAAGAGUUGUGUUCUUCAUGUAAUGUUCAUCGAUUAUGAUUCAGUCGAAGUAAGUACUAAGUGUUGUGUUCAUCAUGUAAUGUUCACCAGUAAUUUUAAUUAUAUAUGUUAUGUUAUUAGUCCAUUGUCAUUUUGAUUUUAUCCUUUGAAUUGCAUGACAUAAUCUUUUUUUUAUCAAGAUAUUACAAACUUGUAGAAAAAAACGUGGUAUGCAUGUAUUAUCAUAUAUCGCACUGGGAAUCUCCUCCUUGUAGAUGUGCAUGUACAAUUCGUAGCUAUUUUAUUUUGUGAAACUCAACAUCUUCAUUUAGUGUCCAAUCUGUUCGAGAGAACCCUUGGAAAUUGAAUAAAUUAGCCAGCAAAGUCAUGACUUCCCAUGAUAAUCGGAAUUCCUUGAGAUUAGGAAGGAAAAUAUCCCUAGAGAAAAUCAUGAUUGUUUUCUUUCUACAUGUAGAAGAGUUCUUUUAGAUUAGGAGUUCUUCUUAUGAUUUCCGCAGCAAGAGAAUUAGAUAUAUAUAGUGGCGAUCCAUUAUCAAAAUGUCUUAUCACUUACAUUUUUCAAAUAUCUACUGCUCGAUUCAACAAACAUUUCUCUUCGAAAAAUUGUUAUGGUCGGUAGAUUUCUCAAUUCUUGCAGAAAUAUAUCACAAAUAUACAAACUGAGGUAUUACACAAGAGAAAUCAUAUUCAAUUGAAAAUACGUCCAAUACCUUAAGCAAUUUGAACUAUAAAACAAUUGUUUUGGAAUAUCUACUUGCAUUGAAAUAAAGGUGGAAAAUUAGGACAUCAAGACUUAUAAAAGACUUUCUAUGAGGUGGAAAAUCAGGACAUCUGACAUAAUCAGCAGCAUACUUCAGCCGAGUGAUUAAUAGAAUUCAGCUUCUCUUGUCAUCAGUUGGAAAUAUUCUUUGCAUUUAGUCUCAUGCCUCAGUACUCCAUAUGUCAUCUUUGACAAUUAGAAAUCUCCUUCCCUUCAGACCUCUAUACACAAUCUCCAUUAGUUGAUCACCACUCAUUUCUUGAUUGAUUCCUGUAAUUGAAGAGAGAACUUCCAAAAACAUUUGUCUCUCAUUGUAUAUCUAAUCCUCUUGCUGCGGAAACCAUAAGAAGAACUCUCAAUCUAAAAGAGUUCUUCUACAUGUAGAAGCAAAACAAUCAUGAUUUUCUCUAGGGAUAUUUUCCUUUCUAAUCUCAAGGAAUUUUUAUUACCAUGAGAAGUCAUGACUUUGCUGGCUAAUUUACCCAAUCUCCAAGGAUUCCCUCAAACAGAUUGGACACUAAAUGAAGAUGUUUUAUUUCACAAAUUAAAAUAUCUACGAAUUGUACAUGUACAAGCACAUCUGCAAAGGGGAGAUUUCCCAACGCGAUGUAUCAUAAUAUAGGCAUAUCACGUUUUUCUACAAGUUUGUAAUAUCUUGAUAAAGAAGAGAUUAUGCUAUGCAAUUCAAAGGAUAAAAUCAACAUGACAAUAGACUAAUAACAUAACAUAUAUAAUUAAAAUUACUGGUGAACAUUACAUGAUGAACACAACACUUAGUACUAAUUUCGAUUGAAUCAUAACCGAUAAACAUUACAUGAUGAACACAACAUAUAGGAUAACUCAAAUGAAAAAAUGAACCAUAACACUUAAUAUAAUAUUUUAAGUUUUUAAUUUUACUUUCGACAAUUCCAUAACACGCGCACUAGGAAUUCCAUAACUCAUUUAUUUUAUGAUUUACAGAUAUAGAUUUAUAUAAGUCGAAAUUGACUUAACCUCAUUUUUUUUCAUUAAAUGUAACGAUCUAUCCCAACGCCACCAAUUUCGCGUCAAUCCAUUUUUUGAGUAAAAGUUAUGACCAUUUCAGUAACUAAUAUUGUGCAAUGACGAAUUAGCCAGUGGGAAACAUUAAAAGGGGUCUUUUUAUCUUUUUACCUUCAAGAAAAUCCUAAACGAAUUUCUUGACUAAUAUAAGCCUUAAAACUAGGGUUGCUCAAAACCAAACCGAAGCCAAUAACUCUUACCGAAAAAAAGUUAUUGGUUUAUCAGUAAUGGGUUAUUGGUUUAAAGGUUUUGAUAACGGUUUUAAUUUUUUUUGUUAUAUGUUCUAAACGGUUUGAGGUUUUUUCUUAACGGGUUAAUCGAUAACCCGAUAGUAAAUUAAAUAAUUAAAUUUAUUCCAUUUUGUAUAUAAAGUCUUUGACUUAGAGUUUGGUUUCCUACUUUUAUUUUUGGUUGUCUCAAACACUUGGUUAUUCUACAAUGUAAAAUUGUUUGUUUUUUAGCAAGAUAUAACUUGUGAACUCAUGUGCAUGGUUCAUUUGGUUUGUCACCUUGUUUCUAAGUGAUUUUCAAUUUAUUUUUUUGUGUCAAAUCUUAACGGUUAAACCGAUAACGAUCAAUAAUUGAUAAACCAAUAACCGAUAAGUCAAUAUCUUAAUGGUUCUGUAACAGUUUAGCAUCUCUACAAACCGAUAACCAAUAAGCCAAAAUCGAUAAACUUCAAAAUCGAACCGAACCGACCGAUACGCAGCCCUACUCAAAACUAUCAGAUUUUCAUCUCUUAGUCCAUCAUUAUCUUCUCUAUCAAACCCUAAGACAAAACCCUAAGGAAAAAUCAAAGUAGAAAACUUCAUUCAAGAUUCUUUUAAUCUAUUUCAAGAUUCUUCUACAAGGUAAGUCCUUCUCUAAGAAUUUCAUUCUUUCCAACUCAAAUUCCUCCAUACAAUUAAGAAUCACUAAUGAAAAUCAUAAUUCUUGGUCAUAGAGUUUCAAGAAACUAAUUCAAGAUAUCUCAAGAAAGGUUUUCUCAAUUUUUUUCCUUGAAGCUAGGGUUUCAAGGCUUCUAAUCAAGUUCUUCUUCAAGAUUCUUCAAGAACCUUGUUCUUUAAGGUAUGUAAGGCUAUCAUAGUGUUGACUAGUUCGUCUUCACGCCCUACAUCUACUUUCAUAUCAGUAAAAGAGUAAUCUAGGAUUCUUUCCCUAGAUUUGAGUAUUUUUGAGAUAAGUUGAUUUUUGUGUUCUUGAAUUUCUGAUUCUUUUGAAAUUUUAUUCCUAAGUAUUGAGUUUCUAUAUUUUUAUCAUGGAAUCGUAAUUCUCCUUAGAUUUUUUCGUUGAUUAAGAUCUUUGAGUUGAUUUGUUCAUUUCUAUAAUGAAGCAUGAACCCUAUUUUGAGUUAUAAAUCUUGACAAGUGUUUCAAAGCCAAUACUUAGUUUUAAAUUGAGUUUCUGAGGAAGUAAAAAUGAGUUUUGAGAAAAAGUUUAAAGGUUCUAGUUCAUAAAGACUUAAGAGUUUCUAAUGUUAUUUUAUUCAUAUAUAUAUAUAUAUACACAUAUGUACCUAUGUUAAUUAUUGGAUUUGAAAGAUAAGUUCAUAAGUGUAUGUUUUCAAGAAGGUAAAUAUGUCUCAUGUUUUGAAAAGUAUUUCAAGUAAUGUAAGAAGUUCAUUCUUUGUAAUGGGGAAUUGAGCACAAAGUUAUAUUAAUUAUUUUGAAAAUAGUAUCGAGCACUGAGUUGGGUUAGAGUCUUUUAUGAUUCGAAAGUCCCAUAGAACUACGUAGCUAGCAUAGGAUAGGAUAGGAUAGCACUGAUUCUUCAUGUGACUCCUCACUGCCUCUGAGAAGACUAAUUAGAUGGAUCCAUAGUCACGAUAUCAUCAUAUACCCCAGCAAAGUAUAGGAUGGCCUUGGCAACGUUUGUUAGGCUCAUGGUUAUGGUUGUCGGUUAGAGAAACUUCCCACAAAUAAAGUAUAUUAUUUAUGUUGCUUCCAUUGUAUAUUUUAUUGUAAAGCUUAAAUGGUUUUCACUUCAUGUCCAUGUAAUGAUUCAGUUGAGUUGUUUUCAAUCAUUCAGUUCAGUUAUUUGUUUACUCAGCCAUAUUACAUACUUGUACAUUCCAUGUGUUGAUGUCAUUCAACCUGCAUUCUUUUAUGAUGCAGAUAUAGGUGUUCAUGAUUAUCAACAGGCGCUUCGUUGAGAUCACUCUAUACUCCAGUUAGUUUUGGUGAGCCUCAUUGUAUUCCAGAGGACUUCACAUUACUUUCCAAUAAGUAGUUUUAGGUGUCAUGGGUCUUGUACCGACAUCAUUCCUCAAUAGUAGAGGCUUCAUGGAUAGACAGUUUUGGAGAGUCUUUCAGUUUCAGAUAUUUUAUUUAAAACUUAUGUUUCAUACUAAGUAUAUUCAACAAGGUUUUGAGAUUCAAUAAAUUAUUUUUAAACGUUUCUUUCAAUUUGAUGCUUAUGUAUGCUCAAGUUAGUCUUCUGCAUGUAGUCAGCCAGGAUGAGGGUUCGCUUGAAAACCAGCAAUAGUUCUUGAGUGUCGGUCACGUCCAGGGUAUAGGCUCGAAUCGUGACAGCUAUAGUCAGGUAAGUUGGAAUUUUAUGCUAAAAAAGAAGACCUAAAACCUCCUAUUUUAUGCAUCAUUCUUCUUAGGUUUGAGAGGGGUGCAUAAGGGCAGGUCUUAUCAAAUUUUCACCAAAUUCAACGAUAAAGGUAAAUUCAUUACUUCCCUAUCUUGUAAAUAGAUUCUUAAGCUUUAGAAUCUAGGAUAUUACUUUUGGGGGAGGAUUUUGACUUGAUUUAAUAGUGGGAAAAGUCCUGAAUUUGUUAGGAUUUGAUUAUGAUCCAGGUAUAAUUAGACCAGUUUUGAUUUAUUGUUGUGUUUUUCAUUAUUGUUAGACCAAGAACAAGUCAAUGUACUUCAAAAAGGAAAGCUCAGGUUCUUAAGAGCAUUCAGGCUUGAUUCGAGGUAGGUGAUGGUUGUAUGUAUGUAUACACAUGUCUACUACUUUAUAGUACCACUGAUAUAAUGCAUGUUGGGGAAAACAUAGGGAAACAUAUGAAAUGACAUCAUGUUAAUAAUCUCAUGCAAUAGAACUUUUAAUUUAACUUGUGGUUUCAAGUGUUAUUCUUCAUUGUGAUUGUAAUUAUGAUUGUACAUGUCGUUUGUGAUUGUUGAUUGGCUCAGGUACCACGCCGGUAUAGAAAUACUAACAGUUGGCUUGGAUAUCACGUCUGAUAUAAAUACUACCCCUGAUUGGCUCGGAUACCACGCUGAUACACUAAUAAUUUGUGUGUGGAUUCUGUGAGAGAACCGAGUAUGUGUAGUUAUGAUUCCAUGAGUGGACCGGGUAUUUGUAAUUGUGAUCAUGUGGGACAUGUUUCAAGUAUUGGUUGAUUCAGGAUAUUGUGAUUAGGAGCCUAUGUAUUUGUGAUUGUUUUAUAUGUGUUGUCAAGUGUUUAUUGUGUUGUGGCUAUCUGUUUACAUUCAUGAUUUAGACUUGGUCGUGUGAUCCUACCAAUACAAUGUGAUUGUGUAUUGAUACUACACUUUAUUUUUUCUUGUGGAGUACAUGACAUCUUCCAACGGUUGAUAUGAGACUUCAGUUAAGGGACGCUUGACUUCGAAUUCAAAGGUGAGCUACUCUUCCAGGAAGUCAUUGGUUCCUCUACAUCUUCUUGUCCAUCUUUUCAUAAAGAGACAUUUUAGAUUGUUAGGUUUAUGUUUUAGUUUCGAGAUUGCAGUUUUGACUAUUUAGAGUUUUAAUAUGAUGACUUUCAGAUUCUAGAGGUUAAAUUUCACAAUUGUUAGGAUGAUUUAGUUGAGUUUAUGAGAACUCAAUCUUUUAUUUGCGUUAGACUAUUUUUCCUAGUGUUUAUGUAGUAAGUUGUUUCUUAUAAUAGGUUUGAAGGUAGUUGAGUUGGGUUAGUAAUUGGUUCUCCCAUUGGAGGGUUAGUGUGGGUGUCACCACGACAGGUCAGGGACUUGACAUUAAGACAAAGACAUUUGAAUCUGAAUGCACAUAUGUAUGAUUAAGAUGUUAUUCUAAAUUUGAACACUGAAUAUUUAAGAUUGUUUGUUUUUCAACAUAUGAAUGUGUAUAAUUUUUUGUUUGUAAACAUGAUAAAUAUAUAAUUCAAAUAGAAAAGUAAUUCAAUAUUAUAAAUAUAAAAUAUAAUAAAAUAAAAUCAUAAUUUGAUUAAUAUAUAUAUAUAUAUAUAUAUAUAUAUUUAUAUAUAUUAUUUAUAUUCGCUAGUGAUGAUAGAGAUGGUUUGUAAUGAUAGUGGUGGUGGGGGGGGGGGUUUUGUGGUUGUUAUUUUCUUCACUUUAAUUCUUAAAAUAUUUAUUUUAAAGUAUAAUCAAAUCUAUAUUCAAACUGUUCAAAAAUAUAUUUAAGGAACUAUUUCGAAUCAUAUCCCAAAUAUAAUGUACCAUUUUUGUAAAAAUAUUUCUGAAUGUCACUUUAGUGGAGUUAGUGGGUGGUGGGGUAGGGGAUGAUGAAUUUAAUAAAAAUAAUAGUAAUAAUUUUGAAUCUGAAUUUUUGACCAAUACUUUGGAAAUUUUAUCCGUUGGUUAACGUUUUCCAAUAAAAGUUUUUUUUUCUGACAAUGUCAUAAAAUACAAAUUAAUGAUUUGUCCAUUUGGGCCCAUAUUAUGGGGCAGAUAUUUUGACAUUAUUUAUAAAACAAGGGCUCCAAGUUUAACAAAAUGUGCCAAUUGAGUAUUUUACAAGUUAUGUUUUAAAAAAUAAAACUUUUAAAAAAUUCAAUGAUUAAUAGUAUAUAUUAAAGGUCCCCAACGGCUAUUGUCUACUUUUGUAAAGGUCAAGAUGUAUAUUAUUAAAAAAAUAUUGACGUUUGGUUAUAUGUUAAAAGCAUAUUGAGGUUUAUUGUACGUAUUAAGAUUAAAAUAUUUGAAUUUGAAUGUAUAUUUGAGUAAUUAAGAUGUUUCUAGAUAUGAAUACUAAAUAACUAUGACUAUUUGUUUUUAAAAUGUUUGAAUGUGUAUAAUCUAUUUAGUUUUAAAUAUAAUAAAUUUACACUUCAAAUAAAAUAUUUAUAUUUGGUGCUAGUGGUUAAGUAAUGGUUGGUGUUAGUGGCUAGUAAUGAUGGUAGUGAUAAUUAUGAUGAUAGAGAUGGAUAAUAUUGUAGUGACUAGCCCGAUGGUGAUGGUUGGUAGUGAUGGUGGCGGCAAUUGUGAUUGUGAAGUUGAUUGAGGUUAGUAGUUAGUGGUAUUGGUGUUGGUGUUGGUGUUGGUGUUGAUGACUGAAGAAAGUGUGGUGGUUUAUGAUAAUGAUGGAGGUUGGCAACAAUUAUAAUUACAAUGACAAAGGUGGUUAAUAAUGAUGGCUAAUUAACAGUUGGUGAAGAUAUGGUGUGAUUAUUAUGAUGGCAGACGUAAUUAAUGGUGGUCAUUGGUGAUUGUGCAUAAAGUGGUGUGAAAAUUAUUCAUACAAAAAUAAUUAUUAAUGAUAGUAAAACUUUGUUAAAAAACUUAAUGAUUAAGAUCUUCUCAAACCAAAUAAGUGGUUUGAUCUUCAUAUAAACAAAUACACUUAAUGACGUAUGUUGGAUUCUAUGCAGUUUGAUGAUUGACAAAGUAAUAUGAAAUGUGUAAGUCAACCUGAUUCAUAAAUACAUCAUGUCAAGGAGUUGAAUCUAUAGCAAGAUCACUAAAUAAUAAAGACAAGUGUGCAAUAAUCAAAGGAAUGGAUGACAGUUUCGUGAUAAACUUAAGGAAACAAACAUGUGUUGAAUUGAAGAGUUGGAGUUCGAUACGACACAAAAAAAUCAAUGACUUUGAUUUGAAGAGGGAUUCUAAAGAGGCAAUGAGUUUGAUUUGAAGUAGAACUUUAAGUCAAGAGAGUUUGCGUGAAUAUGGAGUUUGAAUUGAAGAACAACUCUCUAAAAGUUGUUCUUAAAUAGAAGUGAAGUCAUUCAUAAUACUUGUGCACUUGCCGAGAAAAAAAGGCAAUUAAAAAAUUAACUUCGCAAGUGCUACCAAAAGAUUGAAGGAAUACAUUGAAGAACCAAGUCCUAUUAUAUAGUUUAUGUAUUAGGAGUUUUUCUUUGAGUGGUAAUGUUGAUGUAAUCCUAGUUUAGUGAGUUCUAAACUAAAUUAGGGGUGUUGUCUUUAAGUUGGAAUAACUUGAAGACUUGGGAACACAUACCAUGAUAGGUUUGUGUAGAAGUUCAGAAAUUAUAGUUAGUUUCUAGGAUUGCAAGAGUUUUAAUCUGAACUCAUAACUUAAAGUUUAGGAAUUAGAGUUGGUUCGUAAGAUUGCAAGAGUUGUAAUCUGAAUUAUGUUGAUGCUCAUUGAUUCAGUGAAGUUGGGGUUAAAUCUGGUAAGGUACAGGUUGUGAUUUCUUACAUCUUUUGGAGUUGGGUGUUCCCCACGAAAAAAUAUUAUGUUCUUUACUUAUUGUUCUUAAUGCUUCGUUGGAACAUAUUAGACAACUUGUUUCACUCGUAGGCUAAUCAAGAGUAAAUCACUAAGUCGUGUGAAAUAUAAGCGUAAGAUUUGAAUCAUACAGAUUCAGAUCUUUAUUAAGUGCAAAGAAAUAAGGUUUUAUACAACAACAUACCCAAUGUUGAAACCGACUUAUAUUGCUCCAUUAAAGCAACUGAUUUAGUGUAACUUGCCAUUGGCAGCUCGAAAUUGAUGGCGUAGAACUAUGAAGAAUGAACAUCACCAGUUUGAAAACGAAACGAAAAAAACAAAUAAACCUACCUACCUACCUAUGUUAAACUACACUAAUAGAAAGAAAAGAAAAAGAUGUUCUAUAUAUCACUUAAUCCAUCUCCUCAAUCUUGGGACCUGCCCCACCACCACCACCAGCCAUAGGUGCACCUCAAGCACCUUGGUACAUCUUGGCAAUAAGUGGAUUGCAUAUGCCUUCAACCUCCAUCUUAUCCUCAAACUCAUCAGCUUCUGCAAGUUGGUUGCUUUCAAGCCAACUUUCCCUCUAAUUUUUUCUUGUGUUCUUCAUCAUCUGCCUUGUACUUCUCAGCAUCCUGGACCAUCUUCUCAAUCUCUUCCUUCGACAGCCUACCUUUGUCAUUCGUAAUUGUAAUUUUUUUCCUCUGUCCGGUGGUAUUGUCCUCGGCGGAAACAUUUAAGAUGCCAUUGGCAUCAAUGUCAAAGCAGACAGUUAUCUGAAGAAUACCCCUUGGUGCAGGAUGUAUACCAGAGAGCUCAAAUUUACCCAACAAGUUGUUGUCUUUUGUCCUUGCUCUCUCUCCCUCGUAAACCUGAAUUAACUCUUCAGAUUGGUUAUCAGAAUAAGUUGAAAAUAUCUUCUUUCUCUUUGCAGGAAUGGUGGUGUUCCUUGGAAUCAGGACAGUCAUAAGUCCUCCAGCAGUUUCGAGUCCUAGCGAUAAAGGGGUGACAUCCAAAAGGCGCAAAUCUUUAACUUUCACAUUACCCUCUCCACUAAGAAUGGCUGCUUGCACAGCAGCG